rnacentral:rRNA from 1 species
UACGUAGGUGGCAAGCGUUGUCCGGAAUUACUGGGUGUAAAGGGAGCGUAGGCGGGGUGCCAAGUUGAAUGUGAAAUCGGCCGGCUUAACUGGUCGCUGCGUUCAAAACUGGCGCUCUUGAGUGGAGCAGAGGCAGGCGGAAUUCCUAGUGUAGCGGUGAAAUGCGUAGAUAUUAGGAGGAACACCAGUGGCGAAGGCGGCCUGCUGGGCUUUAACUGACGCUGAGGCUCGAAAGCGUGGGUAGCAAACAGG